rnacentral:rRNA from 1 species
GACGAGCCACACGAACGUUAUUCGGAAUCACUGGGCUUAAAGGGCGCGUAGGCGGGCUCGCCAGUCUGUGGUGAAAGCCCCCGGCUUAACCGGGGAAGUGCCGUGGAUACUGCGAGCCUCGAGGAGGGUAGGGGCAUCUGGAACAGCCGGUGGAGCGGUGAAAUGCGUUGAUAUCGGCUGGAACUCCGGUGGCGAAGGCGAGGUGCUGGACCCUUUCUGACGCUGAGGCGCGAAAGCUAGGGGAGCAAACGGG